GAGUUGUGAGACUCUGCUGUAGAGCUCAUCACUCCCCCUAACUGGGAGGGGGCCAGAGACAAUUUCUCGAUGCUGACACAUCUUUCUAGCUGAUUUACACGCUGAAGCUAUGUUGCGCUUGGUGACCUCAGACUGUUUCAUCCUAACAUCGCUGGUGCUGACAUGGAUAACAAUAUCUCUAUACUCUCUACACUCGCCAGUUUUAGCUUUAGCCAGCACCAUCUUCAGAUUAACCUUAACGUCGGUAGCCCUGCCCCCUGGUAAACAGUGUAUGAUCGCUGGAAGAUUCGUUUUAAGCCUAAUACUGCGGGUAAUGGAGUCGCCAAUGACUUGAGUUUUCAAUUUGUCAGAGCUAAUGAUGGGAAGCUUCUGCAUCUCAGACCGCAUAACGGGAGGAGUAGAGACAAGAGAAGGCUCGGCCUCUGACUCCGACUCGUUGCUUAAUGGGGAUUUUCUGUCGGCUGAAUGAGCGACACCGGUUGAGCAUAGCUAAGUGAAUUAAAUACUACCAGCUACCUAACUUCAUGUUAGCUAGCUAUCUUGAUGUAUUUAUCACUAUAAAAAAUAAAAUUCAAAUGCAUUUGUAGGUAGCUAGCUAACAGCCAUGGAGGAGGGUGAAAGGAUAGCAGCCCCAACUGUCAGUGAGAGAGGAGGCUAUUCUGGGUAGGGCAGGUACUUUUGUAAUGAAGUCUGUUUCUUGUGAGGUUUUCUGUCCUCAGAUAAAAAGCUACAUGAAAGCCAGUCUACAUAUGAAGAGAUCCCAAUGAAGAGCAGUGGUUCUCAGUCCUGGGGACUCAAGAGGCACAUUUUUGUUUUUGCCUCAGCACUGCACAGCUGAAUCAAAUGAUCAACUCAUCAUCAAGCUUCAAAUGAUACCUUGUAACUGGAGAUUCCUUCAAAACGAUUGCCUACAGUUACCAGGUAGGGCACUGCAAGGUUGGUUGACCAGGUUCAUCUGGGACUGCCUCCUGGAGGAAUUCAGGUGUGUGAAGGCUACCUGUGUCCUGCGUAACUUCAUGAGGAUGGACACGAGGACCAGGAGCGGAUCCGCAGCUCACCACCGUGUCCCAGAGGAGAAGUCUGCUGCUCUGCAGGAUGUUUCAAGGAUGGGGUCCAACAACACAGCAAGAGAGGCAAUCCGUGUGCAGGAGAUCUUCACCUCCUACUUCUUCAAAGAGGGUGCUGUUCCCUGGCAACACCAUAGACUACACUAUGCACAACCAAAGGCUCUUUUAAGAGCCAUUCACAUUGCAAUAAGAGUAGUCUUCCAUUUAUUUAGGUAUGUCAACUGCAGUUAUACAAUUCACAGUUUCUCUCCCUUUGAUUUCUACUUCUCAUGUGAGGGUGCAGUUUAGGUAAGGGUAUGAUGUCUAUGCAAAAACAAAACAGGCUAUUUUAAGUCACCUAUAUUGAAAAAAUAUAGAACAAUUAGACACCCUAUAACCAACACCUACACACUCAUGUAUCAAUCUGAUUGAUGGAUUGUGUUGUGCAGUAAGCAGGUUCAGAUGUAUAACUGUGGCUCUUUCCACCUUAAAAAAUAGGCAAGAGGGCCAACCAUAGAGAAUAUUAAGACACUUAAUAAUUUCUAUAAUUACGCUAUAAUUGUUUGUCCUUGUGGGUCCGUUCAUAUUUUUCAGCAUAAAGUACUCUGCAGCCACUUAGUGUGGUGUGGACACCAGGUGAGGCCACACACACACAUUCCUGUUGAACACUGUCACUUUAACAACCUUAUUUUCUCAAUAACAGUCUCUCUCCUUCACUUCAUCCCUCUCUCCCCUUCUCCCUAAAUCCUCUAGGAUAUAUCAGCUGUGUCGGUGAACACCUCCUGCAUCUGAACUGGCUACAUCGAGGGCACAGCAAUCCAGCCUUACAUUCUGGCACAGAGACUCAUUCGGGACUUCUCCUUAGACGGGGGGCUAGUUUUGUGGCUGUUGGACUUCCUGAGCCAAUGCUCACAAUAUGUUUUGAUGUGAGAGGAUGCCAACCCCCAGUCCCAUCAUCGCCACCUCACCUGCUUUAAAGAUAACCAUUGUGCCGACUAGACACUUAUGUAAUUGUGAUGAACUGAGAGAAUAUUUAGGUAGCACUGUGAUUAAUUAAUCACGUGCUGCCUUCCCUGCUCCUAUGUGUUUACCUCUUUCCCUUUCUGUCUUUAACUCCUCUCUCUCCACCUCCUCUUUCUUCCUGUUUUUAUAAUUCACAACAGAAGUGCAUUGAAGUACAUAUUGAACUUGUAUUUAUAACACCUGUAUAAUGAGCUUUUCAAUAAAGCGUUUCACAUUCUCUA